UUGCCUUAGGCAGUCAUUACUUUCUACCUUAGUUUCCCUUUUUUAAGUAUAGCCAGCCUAGAUGUGAUUUCUCUAUGGUCUCUUAAGUCAGUCUCAGAAAUAUUUGUGUUCAUUAACUAUUGAAAGGCUCUGGCCAGUUUUGUAGGCUGCUUAGUGAUGUCUAAACUCUACUUGGAAAAAAAUCAUUUGUCUGGAAUAUAAAACCUUGCUUUUGUACUCCCUUCCGUUAAAGCUUGUAGUGUAAUUGCUUUUACUAUAUACCAGUCAAAAUGUUAUAUUUUCUCCUUUGGGGUUGGAGUUGAGAAUGCAAGCACUCAGUAAGUUACUUAACUGCAUAUUGAGCUGUCGGAUCUAAUUUUGUUACAUAAGAGAAACUAGAAGCAAGUUUUUUAUUUGUGUUACAAGAAGUUGAAGAACAGGCUAAAAAGGAAUCUGUGAAGACUUCUGUACCUGGUGAGGUUCCCGCUGCUCCUGAGGAACCAAAGGAAGAUCAAACACGUAAACCAGCUCCUACUCCCUAGCAAAUUAUAGCAAGGUACAGUAUGUCACUUAUCUGUUACUGGUCUUCUUCGAUGCAUUUUAAGGAUUAGGAUGGUGGAACAGAUUGUUUUCGAUGUGUAUAUAUGGCGAGGAUUUUUGGUGUUAUGACAUAUGGAUAGAAAGAAAGCAACAUAUUGGAUCAUAGAAGCAACAGUACCUUCUGCUGAUAUGGGCUACUUAUUAGAAUCUUGUAAGAAAAGUCAUCAGAGUCCAGCAUAAAAAGAAAGUCAUCAGACUCUUCCUGUGACUUGUGAGUCAAUAUUAACUCUUUUUAUUCUAAAAGGAGCACGCCAUAUCCACUGAAUUUCUUGCCGACAUCAAUGAACCGUUUCCAAAGAGAGGUUAGAAGGAGCUUAUACCUAUUGGCCCUGAUGCAGUAAAAUUUUCUCAUUAUUGGUAAAUUUUGGUCUAAAUAUGGAUUUUCAUGAUUAUGGAACUGUACCUGGUAGCAAUAAGCAUGCUAAAUAACUCUCCUGUCAUGGAUUUGUGAAAAAGGACCACCCCAAAAGUGAAUAGAACGGUCCUUUCCUUUUUGCUAGUUCAUUAAAUGUUUCUUUUUGCAUGUGCAGACUGCCAUUGUGAAAUCCCAAACUCUUGAGGAGGUGGCUAGACUUGAACAGGCAUUGAAGUCUCGCCAGCUUCCUGUAGAUUAGUUAUUGGUGGUUACAAUGUUGCUGUAAAAAAAAAAAAAAAAAAAAGACGCCAAAGAAGACAAAAUGGCAAUAGAUGGCGAUGAUAAAGCUAACAAAGGAGAGGAGGAAAACGUACCCAAACAGAAAACGAAUGGUCCUACAGAUAUGGAGCAGGGAUCAGCUCUUAGCCCAUUUUUAUUUGCUUUGGUGAUGAAUGGUUUGACGCGGUAAAUUCAAGGUGAGGUGCCAUGGUACAUGUUAUUCGCGGAUGACAUAGUACUGAUUGACGAGACCCGCCGAGACCCCCAACGGAGUGAAUGCUAAGCUGGAGGUUUGGAGACAAACUCUGGAGUCUAAAGGAUUCAAGUUGAGUAGGACCAAGAUAGAGUACAUGGAGUGCUAGUUUAAUGACGUGACACAUGAGGCUGGCGUGGAAGUGAGGCUUGGAACCCAAGCUAUCCAAAAGAAAGGGAGUUUCAAGUAUCUUGGGUCUAUUGUGCAAGGAGAGGGGGAUAUUGACGAUGAUGUCACACAUUGUAUUGGCGCAAGGUGGAUGAAAUGGAGGCUCACUUCAGGAGUGCUGUGUGAUAAGAAGGUGCCACCAAAGCUUAAAGGCAAGUUCUAGUGAGGCCGACUUUGUUGUACGGGGUGGAGUGCUGGGCAGUCAAGAACUCGCACGUUCAAAAGAUGAAAGUCGCGGAAAUGAGAAUGUUGCGAUGGAUGUGUGGGUACACUAGGCGAGAUAGGAUUAGGAAUGAAGAUAUCCGAGACAAUGUGGGAGUGGCAUCGGUGGAGGACAAGAUGCGGGAAGUGCGGCUGAGAUGGUUUGGGCAUGUGAAGAAGAGAGACACAGAUGCCCCAGUGUAGAGGUGUCAGAGGUUAGCUAUGGACGGUUUCAAAAGAGGUAGAGGUAGGCCGAAGAAGUAUUGGGGAGAGGUGCUUAGACAGGACAUGGCGCAGUUCUAGCUUACCGAGGACAUGACCUUAGAUAGGAGGCUAUGGAGGACUCAAAUUAGGGUAGAAGGCUAGUAGAUAGUCCCAUGUAUCCCGUCGUACUAGUAGU